rnacentral:lncRNA from 12 species
CUCCCAGAUUAUCCCAGUCCCUCCCAGAUUAUCCCAGUCCCUCCCAGAUUAUCCCAGUCCCUCCCAGAUUAUCCCAGUCCCUCCCAGAUUAUCCCAGUCCCUCCCAGAUUAUCCCAGUCCCUCCCAGAUUAUCCCAGUCCCUCCCAGAUUAUCCCAGUCCCUCCCAGAUUAUCCCAGUCCCUCCCAGAUUAUCCCAGUCCCUCCCAGAUUAUCCCAGUCCCUCCCAGCUUCUACCAUUUCCUCCCAUUUCUUCCCAGCUCCUCUCAGUUCCCCCAAGUUUCUUCCCAGUUUCUCCCAUUUUUGAGGUACCUCGGGGCAUCUCACACAAAUGAGCUGCUCUUUGGAGAAAAAGGGGGAAAAGGGCUUUGGAUUGCAACUGGAAUAACAUUUCCUUGGUUAGGGCAGAUAUAUUUUCACCUCUCAGUUCCCCCAAGUUUCUUCCCAGUUCCUUCAAGUUUCUUCCCAGUUUCUCCCAUUUCUUCCCAGUUUCUCCCAUUUCUUCCCAGUUUCUCCAAGUUUCUCCAAAUUUCUCUCAGUUUCAGCUUUUCUCCCAUUUCUUUCCAGUUUCUCCCAUUCCUUUCCAGUUUCUCCCAUUUCUUUCCAGUUUCUCCCAUUUCUUCCCAGUUUCUCCCAUUUCUUUCCAGUUUCUCCCAUUUCUUCCCAGUUUCUCCCAGUUUCUCUGUUUCUCCGUUUUCCCCAUUUCUUCCCAGUUCCUCCCGGUUUCUCCCAUUUGUUUCCAGUUUCUCCCAUUUCUUCCCAGUUUCUCCCAUUUCUUCCCAGUUUCUCCAAGUUUCUCCAAAUUUCUCUCAGUUUCUCCGUUUUCCCCACUUCUUCCGGUUCCUCCCAGUUUCUCCCAUUUCUUUCCAGUUUCUCCAAGUUUCUUCCCAGUUUCUCCAAGUUUCUUCCAGUUUCCCCAUUUCUUCUCAGUUUCUCUCAGUUCUUCCCAGUUUCUCCAAGUUUAUCCCAUUUCUUCCCAGUUUCUCCCAGUUCCUCCCAGUUCCUCCCAUCUCUUCCCAGUUUCUCCCAGUUUCUCCCAGUUUCUCCCAGUUCCUCCCAGUUCCUCCCAUCUCUUCCCAGUUUCUCCCAGUUUCUCCCAGUUUCUCCCAGUUCCUCCCAGUUCCUCCCAUCUCUUCCCAGUUUCUCCCAGUUUCUCCCAGUUUCUCCCAGUUCCUCCCAGUUCCUCCCAUCUCUUCCCAGUUUCUCCCAGUUUCUCCCAGUUUCUCCCAGUUCCUCCCAGUUCCUCCCAUCUCUUCCCAGUUUCUCCCAGUUUCUCCCAGUUUCUCCCAGUUCCUCCCAGUUCCUCCCAUCUCUUCCCAGUUUCUCCCAGUUUCUCCCAGUUUCUCCCAGUUCCUCCCAGUUCCUCCCAUCUCUUCCCAGUUUCUCCCAGUUCUCCCAGUCCGGGCGGCGCUGGGGCUCGGGCAGUUCAAUGCUGCCACCUGGUGGUGACAGGAGGGAACGGCAGCACCGGGAUCCCCAAAUCCCAAAUCCCAAAUCCCAAAUCCCAAAUCCCAAAUCCCAAAUCCCAAAUCCCAAAUUCCAAAUUCCAUCGGGAGAUCCCAGAGCCCGGCUCGAGGCCGGGAUGGUU